UGAGGCAGGAGAAUUGCUUGAACCCAGGAGGUGGAGGUUGCAGUGAGCCGAGAUCGUGCCACUGCACUCCAACCUGGAUGACACAGUGAGACUCCAUCUCA
ensembl:miRNA